rnacentral:rRNA from 1 species
UACGUAGGCGGAAAAUUAAGUCAGUAGUGAAAUCCUGCAGCUCAACUGUAGAACUGUUAUUGAUACUGGUUUUCUUGAAUAUUGUUGAGGUAGGCGGAAUGUGUAAUGUAGCGGUGAAAUGCUUAGAUAUUACACAGAACACCGAUUGCGAAGGCAGCUUACUAAGCAAUUAUUGACGCUGAGGUACGAAAGCGUGGGGAGCGAACAGGAUUAGAUACCCUGGUAGUCC